rnacentral:sRNA from 1 species
UGCGCCUGCAAAGGAGGCAGCCUUAUCCUUAAAUAAAUGUUUUGCAGGCAACAAAAUAAGGUAUCCUCCCGUGAUCCGCAAUUUUGCGGAUUCAAAACCGUUC